UGAUCAUGGCUCAGAUUGAACGCUGGCGGCAGGCCUAACACAUGCAAGUCGAGCGGAAACGAGUUGUCUGAACCUUCGGGGGACGAUAACGGCGUCGAGCGGCGGACGGGUGAGUAAUGCCUGGGAAAUUGCCCUGAUGUGGGGGAUAACCAUUGGAAACGAUGGCUAAUACCGCAUAAUAGCUUCGGCUCAAAGAGGGGGACCUUCGGGCCUCUCGCGUCAGGAUAUGCCCAGGUGGGAUUAGCUAGUUGGUGAGGUAAGGGCUCACCAAGGCGACGAUCCCUAGCUGGUCUGAGAGGAUGAUCAGCCACACUGGAACUGAGACACGGUCCAGACUCCUACGGGAGGCAGCAGUGGGGAAUAUUGCACAAUGGGCGCAAGCCUGAUGCAGCCAUGCCGCGUGUAUGAAGAAGGCCUUCGGGUUGUAAAGUACUUUCAGCAGUGAGGAAGAUGGUGUACUUAAUACGUGCAUCAUUUGACGUUAGCUGCAGAAGAAGCACCGGCUAACUCCGUGC
rnacentral:rRNA from 1 species